CUGUGGUGCAGGGAUGCUCUCUGACCCCUGGGUGUGGGGGGAGAUUGUCCUGAGGAAGGGUUGUGCUGCUGCCAGAGUUUGCAGCAUGGGUAUGAGCCCAGCUCUGGUGCAAUCUGCUGCAACGGGACUAGAGAAGAAGUCCCUACCCACAAGAAAAAAAAUAAUGCAAGUUGCUUUAGGGUGAGCUUUGGGGUUGCUGGCAAAGGGUGGGCUCUGCAGAGCUUGUUGGGUGUUUGGGGGCUUUUGUGUAUCUUUGAAGCGUGGGGAGUAAAAUGUCUCUGUGUAAGCAGCAAGUGUUUUGCUAGAGAUUAUGCAAAACUUCCUUUUCUCUCUGCCCUGGAAUAUUUUCUUGGCACUGAAAUACUUGAAGUAUUAUCACCCUGGGAAGUGAAAGCCUUGUCCUUACUCUCUUUGUUUUCCUUGUGCAUCCUAUGGAGAAGAAGUUGCCAGAAUUUAAAGUGUUGCAGUGUUUUUUUGCUGUUGUCUGCAGGUUCCCCAGGGUCUUAUCAGUGGGGCUGCACGACAGCGCAGCAGUCCAUGCCAGCAGCUGACUGGGCGCUUGCACUUGCCAUGCAUCUGGCAGCACCGAGCUGCCAGUUGAUGUGUUUUUAAGUGGUGAAUGGCAACAAAACUCUUCUUCCUGUUUUAGUGCCCAAAGGGAUGGGAUAUAAGGGAUAAAGCAGGGUAGAUAUGCGUAUAAGUAACUUAGUUCACGGGUAUUUUGAACAGCCCCAGCUUGCUUUGAAGUCGAAGGCAGAUGUGAACAGAUGGAGAGUUUGUGAGGAGUGGAGAACAAAUACCACUGUAGCAAAACUGGGACAGGGGCACUUGGCUUUUGGCAUCUGCAUCUGAAAAUGUGGGAAUGCCCAAUGCGCCUCAGGUUUGGUGUGUUGAUACAGCAGCAGAAAUGAGUUGGUGUUUUCUUAGUGAAUAUCUGCAGGUGGAAGUUCCUCUGAAGCUGUGUAAAUCCAGAGCAGUCAUAUAGGUUUCAGUGGAGUGACUGUGGGUUUACACCUCUUUGUAACUGUCUGGGGAGAAAUCUAAUGCUAGGAGGAGCUGAAAGUGGAGGAAGACUUAAUGAAGUUGCAUGUGCCCCUGGAGAACAACACAAAAGGACUGACACAAAAUUUUAUGCGUUCAUAAAUAAGCCUUUUUUUUUUUUAUGAGGAAGAAAGGGCUACUGGGUCUUAUAUGGGAGGAUAGGGGUCUCUGCUAAGAUGCUGUAGAAUGCUACUACUCUUAAAAGAAAGCAGAUUCACACAGUGCAAUGGGUUUAUUAUCAGAGAGACCCAGCUUUGGUGAUUUGUCAAGUCAUGCUGAUUCUUCAGGGAAGGGUUAUUUGGAAUUAAGGUGGGUAGAAGCUGAUAGAAAUUGAUUAACAGGUAGAAAGAUGCUGUCUGUGAAUCACUGAUAUUGCUGCAGCUAGUUUCAGGACUGAAGCAAGUCUUGCCAGUCUGGGACAGAGCGGAGUUGGGAUGUGCUCAGCCCCUGAGGAAGGGCUUGGUCCAAAAUCAUAAGCAGCCUCCAAAAUGAGGCUGGUAAUGGUCACUCAUCAUCCAGGCUGGAUGCUGCGUUGGCAAAAGUGGACAAUACAUGCCUUGUCCUUGGAAGCACCACACCUGCUGUGUUUUAAAGUGUGUGUAAGUCUGCAAGCAGAACCCUCGCCUUAUUCGGGAAUUCCUGAGCUUCUAUCUGGGGGCAAAGAAUAUGCUGGUUUUUGUGACACACUCAACCCCAUCUUGUAGGUUUUGUAAAGGUCACCUAGGAUCUCCUGCAGCAACUCUGCAGUGGAGGGAGGGCUGCGGGUGUGCUGUGUCCAUGUGGGGGAAGAUGGGGUGGGCUGAUUGGAGAAACAGGAAAGUCCCAAACAUGAUGAAUAGUCCAGGAGUUUCAGCAAGCAAAAACAGGGUGCACAGAGAGGGAAACGGGUUCCAGAGCACCAAACUUGCAAUAUUGGUCUGCUAGGAGUCAAUCCCUUUCCAUCUUGGAACUGUCCCAGUCUAUUCUUAGUGAAAUGACACUCAAAGUUUUUAUUUAUUUUUAUUUAAAACAAUUAUUUUGUUUCUCCGUACCACCCAGAUUCCUUUGCAUCUUUUUAUUAUAUCACCUGCUUGAAACAGGUAGGGUCUUGAAGAUGACUUUCUUCCCCUUUCAGAUAGCCUGGGUAGUAGUUUGAAUUGGAUGGUCCCAGGAGAGAGACUGUUAUUCUGUACCUUGCAAAAAUGCUGGCUGUCCACUCUGCCAGCAUGCUGAGCUGGGUGUGCAUGCCUUUAGCUGUGUUUAAGCCCAGUAAAUAUCUGUUAUGGGCCUCAGACAAUAAAAUACCUGAGGAAAGACCUGGGAUCCAUGAAAUUGUGUUCAUGGGAGGCUGAGUUGACUGAACAGAACAGCAUUAAGGAUGGCUUUAAUGUUUGCUGUUGUCACACUGAAAUCAACUUCCUGAGCCCCAAGGGAGGGAGAUUGUUUAAAGUCUGCAGCUUACUUUAAAUUUCAAUGCGUAAUGUAUAAUUUGGCCUACCAUAGAUAUUGGCACAACAUCAGUUUCUCCCCUCCUUGGUUUCACUUGCAUAACGACUGCAACUCUCUCAAAGUCUUCUAGAGCAAAGCUAUUUCGGACCCCUGCAAAGUCUCUUUGUCUUCAAGAAUUAGUGCUUGAUUUUAUUUUUCUUAUUUUUUUAAGGAGGUUGUAAAGGCAAUAAAUGUUAAAACAAAAUAGUGCUUUUUUUUUUUUUUAAGAUAAGGUAAGAAAAAUAAUCUAACUAAGGAGCCAAGCCCCAGAUAGCACAAAGGUGAGGUGCUCUCUACUUGCAAGCAGCUUUUGCUGUGUACAGCACCUUGCAUAAAGUGGUUUUAGUUUGUGGGUAGUGUUUUUACUGUUACAAAGAUAGUAAUGUUGAUUCUACCUUUUCUUUGAUAAUUAAGAUGACUUUUUCCCCCCUACAAAAUGCACUUUCCAAGCGGCACUUUAGGUUUGAACUUUAUACCUAUGUCAGAAGCACCACUUGCUGGCAAUAGUUAAGCAAUGCAAAUGCUGAAGGCAUUUUCCAAGUCACUUGCUGUUUAUAUUAUUACUGUAGCAACUCACUAAAGCCAGAUUUCCAGUGGCAGGCCUCCGUGCCUCCCUUAAAGGCUUGAUCUGUUUGCCUUGCUCUACUGGCUGUAAAUAUCAGAGGUGGCUCUGUUUGGUUUUACAUUUGCAGAAGUAACUUGCUGUUUAUAAUUGAUUUCCAAGUUGGACAAACUGUGAUUCACUGCUGUUGGUGCACAAAGAAAGAACAAAACUAUCUCUAAUUGCUUUUCAGCCAGGGCUGCCUUGACUUUGUGGCCAGGUGGGAGCUUUUCGGUGUGUGAGUAUGUUACAGACCACAGAAACCAAAAUAACAAAGUGGUUAGGAUGAUCAAGGCAAAGGGAGCCUCAUUUAACUGCUGGCAGCACAGAGCUUAAUGUCUCCGCUCAUCCUGCAGCCGUCCAGGGUGGCAUGGCAGGUCCCACAGUUUGAUUUGUGCUGUUUUUCUUGAACCCAGCUUGUCACAUUUGGAGAAUGUGGUUUUAUGCUUUUUUUUUUUAAUUUUUAAAAUUUCUUUUCUUUGUUAAUGCUUUGCUAGGCUUUAGAAGGGGCUGUAAGCAUGUGGAAUGAUGCUGAUCCUUCCCUGCAAAGGGUCUGUGUUGCUGGGUGUGAAGGCUUGGGAAAUGGUAGUGCUGCUGCUCCCCCUCACCCCUUCUACCAGGAGAGGUUGAAGCUCUUCAUUAACUGCUCAAAACUGUCCCUCCUUGCUGUCACUGUGCAGGAGCAAGGAGGUUUCUCCUUCCUACAGACAGGGCAGUUCAGGCACUAAGACUUGCCCUCGGUGGGAAGGCGGCUUUUCCCCAGCAGUGCCCAGCCCUGUGACCAAAACUCCAUCAGAAGUACGGAUCUUUCCAAGAGUUAAAGCGUCCUGAUCUGAGGGAUACCAGCAAUAUCAGAAUAAGUGUUUUUGCUUGUGUGUGUGUGUGGAGGAGAACAAGCUAAAAUAGUGAAUUUACCUUUAAAUGCCCAACUCUGCUGAUCGUUGCUCAAGUUUCUCAUGCUGAGCACUGCUCAUGUCUCCAGCUCGGUGCAGCAUUGUUGUAGCAUGUGAUGCAUGUUGUGGCACAACUUUCCUUAGACUUUCUUAUCUCUCUAGUCCUGCAGCUCUGCCUGGCUCUGGGAUAGCGUGCAGUGCACAGAAAAAGCCGUAACAUGACAGACCAUCUGCUGCUGCCCUUCCCUGUCAGACUGCUUCUGUCCAGGCUGGCUCCAACCAUGCUGGACAAAAAGCCAGAGUGUGGGGUCUAAUGUUUCUCCUUGCUUUGUAAAUUAUAAAUGAUGACCAGUCUGGCUGCUCAAGAGAUGCUUUGAGGAAAGGUAAAAACGACAGUGCUCCCAGCAUUGUCUUUGUGGCUGGUGAAGGUUGUUCUGGCUGUACAGGCCAUGGAAUUGUGGAAGAUAUUUGCGUGCUGCUUGAGCAGAAACAGCAAUGUGGAUGGAUCUGUCUUGAGAUCUACCCAGCUUCCUCCUGUUCCUUGGGGAAGGCAGCAGGAGGCCACGGGGGAGACUUAGUGCCUUUAUCCCCUUCUUGCUUUGAGCUGCAGAGAAGCUGUUGGGAGGCUGUUUUGAACUGGCUGUAAAGUGAUAGUCCUCCAUCCUCUCCCACCCUCUCUCCCCCCUUGAAGGGACUGUAGGACAGUUCUAAGUUAACUCCGAUAUGAAGAGAAGUGUUAUUUUGUGAGCCUAAUGCAUAAAAUCUUCUGUCAGUAUCUCUCUAUGGUUUGACUGCCUUUCUGGCACCUUCCCCACUAACCAGAGGCCAGCAAGAGCUGAACAGCCCUUCCCAUCCACAGAGGUGAUUACAGUAGACUUACAGCAGGCUCCUUCCCUAACCACUGGUUUGUUUGCUGGCUGAAGAUGGAAGUUGUAAUUCAGGUAAUAACACUCCUUCUAGGCUAUGCCAGCAAAACUUUUCCGUCUUGAUUUAGAGAUCAGUCUGUUGAAGUCCAAGAGGAAAAAAAAUGCAUCCAGGACUUUUGUGUUGCACCUGAAGGCGUGAAAAGGCAUCAGCAAAGAACAGGAGACUAGAAAGGAAAGAAACCUGGCUGUGGUGCAGGGGAGUGCUGAGCACUACCUUCCCCCUGAGCUCCUGUACAGAGCUGCUUUUCACAAGGUCUGCCUAUAAACUCAGAUGGCCUUGCUUCUCCUUCAGCUUUCUGAACUUAUUUUUGUCCUCCAGGAUCCAUUCCUACAAGCCUUGACUGGCUCUGUGGCUUUCUUGUGUCCAGCCCGUGAGACAGGGUGUUUAUACCUUGGGUGACAAAGCCAAAGGGCCAUUCUCCAAACAUGCCCUGGACACAGGGAUUUUAAGCUUUUCGAGUAUGAUGUUUCGCCCAGUGACCUGCUACCUUUUCCUUGUUUUGCUGUUGCUGUGUUUGGCUGUCUGCUCCCUUGUACAGGGUGGUACUCCUCCCUGCUGGAGUCUGUCAGCCCCUCCAUCCCUAAAUCAGUUCAGCUCACAGAUCCUGCAGAACAUGGAGUUUGCUUUUUUUUUUUUUUGCAGUGGAAGGAGUUGGAUCCACUUAUGAGGAGUGAGAAGCCUCCCUCUUGGCAGGGAAAGCCAUUAGUUGUGCUAGAGCCAAUAAAAUGAAACUAAGGAGCAGGCUUCCAUUAACAUGGUUAAUGGGUGCAUUGACCUGAAUUCCUAGGAAAGUAGCUUUAAAACAUCGCAUAACGCUUUCUUGCAAUCAUUUUAUUAGCACUUUGAAACUGCUUUUGAAGUUGGCUAGUGGGUCAUGGGAGUACAACAGUUUUUGCAUCCACUGCCAUGUGAGGUGCUAACCUGGGUUUCUGUUGGCUUGGAUGUUCUUCAAGUAGUGCUUUUUUAAAAAAAAUGAACAAAGCAGAGAAAAAAGGAUGUUAGAGGCAGGUUAUUAAAAUCCAGAGAAAGAGGGGUCGUCUCCCCCUUGAGUGUGUACCACUGCUGCUGACCAUAGUGGCAUAAUAUUUCCUAAGGACUUUUUACAUCCAUUGUAUGGACUUAAACACUGAGAUAAAUGCUGAAUUGCUUUUAUUUGACCUUCUUUGCCUUUCAACUCAAGCUAUCUGCACCUGAACACUUCUCUGUGAACAUUGCAAGGAAAAGGAAGACUUAAAAAAAAGAUGCUGAGGAUCUCCUGUCUCAUACAGCCUGGGAAAAUAGCAAAUAGCAGAAGUGGAAAUGGCGUGAUUGAAAAUUGUAACAUACACUACCACUACAAAACUGUGUAAUAUCAGAAUAGUUGCCAUUAAAA